CUCUAUGCUGAUGUACCUUUUCUCUCCUGCAUAUUUUUUGUGGCUCAAAGGAACCAAAAUCACUGGAAAUUCCACAACUUUUUUGCCUCAUGUGAAAACUUUGUGUGGCUGGGUUCAGCCCACCAUCUUAUAAAUAGCAGGCAUUCCCAACUCUCAGUUCAUAACAUAUCCUCUCUCAACUACUGCCUUUCUUCCCAAAAAUUUCUUUUCCCUUCCAAUCAAUCCACAUUGCUUCUAAUUUUCGUCUAUUCUCCUUUAAUCCUUCAUUCACUAAGAAUCUCAGGCAUAUUGCAAACUAUCCUCCUCUGUUGCCUUCUUUGUGAUAAAAUUCUAAGACAAAGUCAUGGAACAUAACUCUGCUAAUGGCUCAAGAUCAUCUUGGACACAAGAACAAGACAAGGCCUUUGAAAGUGCUCUUAACAAGUACGAAAAGGACACACCUGAUCGUUGGCACAAUAUUGCCAAAGAGGUUCGUGGAAAAUCUGUUGAAGAGGUUAAGAGACAUUAUCAAGAUCUCCUAGAUGAUGUUAACAAUAUUGAGUUAGGCCGAGUUCCCUUCCCUUAUAAUUGGGCGAAUUGAGCAACAAAAUUGAGAGAGUAUAAACAAAGGUAUAGCAAUCCGACCUUGGAAGUUGUCCAUGGUAUCUACCUUAAAUGCCUUCUAUGAUUCUAGACAAUGGACCAGGAUGACGAACCCGAUCGAAAACAUGUACCAGAUGAAUAAAACAUCUAUCAUAAUGGUGCUACCAAAUUAGAGUUUCUCAUUUUCUCUACAUAGGCGACUUCCGUACUAUUAUAUUUCUUGUGUAACAUAUAGCUAUGUACCAAUUAUGCAAUGUUUGAUGCUCUAAAUGCGCAAGCAUGUAUAAAUGGGGCUAAUUAUUGUAAGUUAUUUUACUGCAAAAUUGUAAUUACAUAAUAAUAGAAUGUCUUUAUUUGAAA